rnacentral:rRNA from 1 species
GACGAACCGUCCAAACGUUAUUCGGAAUCACUGGGCUUAAAGGGCGCGUAGGCGGCCGAGCGGGUCGCGGGUGAAAUCCCCCAGCUUAACUGGGGAACUGCCCUCGAUACCACUGCGGCUCGAGGAAGGAAGGGGCAAUCGGAACUGUCGGUGGAGCGGUGAAAUGCGUUGAUAUCGACAGGAACGCCGGUGGCGAAAGCGGAUUGCUGGUCCUUUCUGACGCUGAUGCGCGAAAGCCAGGGGAGCAACGGG